CGCUAAGAAGCUAUGAAACAGCACUAGCCUUUUAAGCUAGAGACAGAGGACACACCCUCCUUAGCGA
rnacentral:tRNA from 1 species